GACGUAGGGCGCGAGCGUUGUCCGGAUUUAUUGGGCGUAAAGAGCUCGUAGGCGGUUGGGUAAGUCGGGUGUGAAAACUCAGGGCUCAACUCUGAGACGCCACUCGAUACUGCCCUGACUCGAGUCCGGUAGGGGAGCGUGGAAUUCCCGGUGUAGCGGUGAAAUGCGCAGAUAUCGGGAGGAACACCAGUGGCGAAGGCGGCGCUCUGGGCCGGAACUGACGCUGAGGAGCGAAAGCGUGGGUAGCAAACAGG
rnacentral:rRNA from 1 species